AAUAUGGCUUAUCGAAGACCAUUUUAAUAAACUAAAUCAAUUAAUUGUGGUUCAAAACUAGGCCUAAAGCAAUUUUUGUAACGACGGUCAUUGCUUUACCCCUUUUUAAUGGUACUGUGAUAACAUUUACGUUCAAUUACAAGA